rnacentral:lncRNA from 10 species
AGUGUGAGACAUUCCAGCCAAUGAGACCCACAGGCUUUGGAGGCGAUGGGUCCACCUGUGAGUGGAGUACAGAACGUGGGGGAACAGCUUCCCAGGAGUCUGGGGCUCAACCUCUCCAGGAGGCCCUGAAGGUGGCCUGAGAAAGUUCUGCCUCUCGGGGGGGCAGCGUGGAGCACAGGAGCCGCAGUGAGUCCUGCCUGGCUCUAAGCACCACUUUCCAAGCAUGCAGCUUUGGCAGGUGAAUUAGCCCAGUACUCAGUUUCCUCGGCGGGAGAGCAGGGCUGUGGGGUGGCACCUGCCUCACAGGGCCGCUGGGAGGGAUGCCUGGGUGACAGUGAACGCAAGGAGCAUGCUCAUACACCCCAAACAUGGCGAGCGUUAUCUGGAGGCAUAUGCAGAGGUGGGACUGGGGACCAGGUCUCCAAAGACCAAGAAUCAGCCGAGGCACUAAGGGGCAGAUUGCAGAGGUGAACAGUCCCGCCAGUGAGAACCCGGCCCUGUUAUUCCACGGCCUUCUCUGCCUUCUGCGAGAAAACGAAUUUCCCAGACCCCAGCGCAGGCCUUUCUCACAUCUCAGCAGCAGGGACCGUGGCUCCAACUGCGGCUCAGGAUGAAGGCCCCAGGCGCUGAAGAGAGUGAAGCCGAACCCCUCCUCAAUCCCAAAACACUGGGGACCACGGUGAGACAGCGACGCCCUGGAUGCUGCCUGGUCAAGGUCAGGCUGUGAUCGGCCUGUCAGGCGUGUGGCAGAACCAGCUUCAGAGGCAGCGGUGUCCACGUAAUGAGCUCAAAUGAUGCCCCAGGAAGAACAUAGAUGGCUUCUUUCUUUAAUUCCUCAGCAUGUUUUUAAAUUUAAAUAACUCUACAUUGCAUUUUGGAAAAAGCGCUUCUAACAUAAGCCUGUUUGACUGCAGUUAAAUAAUUUAUGUGUCUCUUGGCCUGGGAAUCACUGUCUCCAUUAUUUUUUUUAUGUGACUCACUUUAUUGCUCCAUUAUUAUUAAUAAUAAAUAUGUCAGGAAUCAGGCACACAAAAAUAUCAAGAAUAAAGAAGUAUAUAAAGAGCUCCUCAAGACACAACCCAAAUGAAAGAUGGGCAAAAGAUAUAAACAAGCUGUUCUUUUUCAAAAAAGAGAAAAGAACAGCAAAUGGACUUAAACACAUAAAAAGAUUCUCAACCUGCCUGUUAGCAGGAGAAGUACAAGAUAAAACCACAACAGGACGUGGCAUCUCAUCCAGCAGCGGUAGGCAGGCCCAGAAGCUGGCAAGCCGGGCAGCGCAGGCUGCUGGCGAGGUAGGUGGAGAACAGGCAUCCUCCUACGGCACUGACAGAGCAAACCGCAAACGUACCCCCCUUCUCAGAAAUCUCCCUUCUCCAAAGCGAUCCCAAAGCUGUCCUCGCAGAAAUAUAGCUGAUGUACUCACAAGGCAUCUGCAGCACUAUUUAUAAAAGCAGAAGAUUGGAGCCCAGCUGUCCAUGAUGUGGGGCGGCCAGGGGCGGGGGAGGUUGAGUCCACAGGGGAACAUCACGCAGCUGUGCAGACACAUGCACGCCAUCCACAUAACACGCAGGUACAAAGGGACGGAGGGACAGAGAGAAAAAAGUCUGGGCCGGGGUAACUGUAAGCCACCGUAUAUGUCAUUGGGAACACUGACUCAUUUACCCUGGGCCUGAUGUCACUGACUUCUACCUCCUGCCCCAAGACUUAGAGUGAAAGAUGAAAAGAUGACCUGUUAACUCACCUGUGGGCAGGAUGUGUAGACCAUGUAGCAUAUGUGAUUGAAUACACAGCCAGUCCCUCCAUUAACUCCAAAGGACACGGCUCCUUCGGCAGCUGCUGGAGGCCAGGCGGAAGCCACUCCCAGGUGGGUGCAUCCUGGCUGACUUUCCUGGAAAGUCCCGAUGCUACACUGACAACUACAUUCUCUUUAGCAAUUGUAGGAUGGCCAGCAAGGACACUGUGGUUAUCGGCGGUGGAAAGUAAAUUCUUGGCAUCCUACUGCUAUUCCAGGCUAUUAAACUACAUUACGGUA